UGGGUGACCUGCCCUCAGCUCUGGGAUAAGCCCGGGAAACUGGGUCUAAUACCGGAUAUGACCUCUCAUCGCAUGGUGAGGGGUGGAAAGUUUUUCGGCUGGGGAUGGGCCCGCGGCCUAUCAGCUUGUUGGUGGGGUGAUGGCCUACCAAGGCGACGACGGGUAGCCGGCCUGAGAGGGCGACUGGCCACACUGGGACUGAGACACGGCCCAGACUCCUACGGGAG
rnacentral:rRNA from 1 species